rnacentral:rRNA from 1 species
GAUGAACGCUGGCGGCGUGCCUAAUACAUGCAAGUCGAGCGAACAGACGAGGAGCUUGCUCCUCUGACGUUAGCGGCGGACGGGUGAGUAACACGUGGAUAACCUACCUAUAAGACUGGGAUAACUUCGGGAAACCGGAGCUAAUACCGGAUAAUAUAUUGAACCGCAUGGUUCAAUAGUGAAAGACGGUUUUGCUGUCACUUAUAGAUGGAUCCGCGCCGCAUUAGCUAGUUGGUAAGGUAACGGCUUACCAAGGCAACGAUGCGUAGCCGACCUGAGAGGGUGAUCGGCCACACUGGAACUGAGAAACGGUACAGACUCCUACGGGAGGCAGCAGUAGGGAAUCUUACGCAAUGGGCGAAAGCCUGACGGAGCAACGCCGCGUGAGUGAUGAAGGUCUUAGGAUCGUAAAACUCUGUUAUUAGGGAAGAACAAAUGUGUAAGUAACUAUGAACGUCUUGACGGUACCUAAUCAGAAAGCCACGGCUAACUACGUG